GAUGAACGCUAGCGGCAGGCCUAACACAUGCAAGUCGAGGGGUAGUUACUUUCGGGUAAUGAGACCGGCGCACGGGUGCGUAACGCGUAUGCAAUCUACCUUUUACAGGGGAAUAGCCCAGAGAAAUUUGGAUUAAUGCCCCAUAGUAUGUAUGAAUCGCAUGGUUUAUACAUUAAAGUUCCAACGGUAAAAGAUGAGCAUGCGUCCCAUUAGUUAGUUGGUAAGGUAACGGCUUACCAAGACGAUGAUGGGUAGGGGUCCUGAGAGGGAGAUCCCCCACACUGGUACUGAGACACGGACCAGACUCCUACGGGAGGCAGCAGUGAGGAAUAUUGGACAAUGGGCGCAAGCCUGAUCCAGCCAUGCCGCGUGCAGGAAGAAGCAUCUAUGGUGUGUAAACUGCUUUUGUACAGGAAGAAACACUCCCUCGUGAGGGAGCUUGACGGUACUGUAAGAAUAAGGAUCGGCUAACUCCGUGCCAGCAGCCGCGGUAAAA
rnacentral:rRNA from 1 species